UACGAAGGGGGCGAGCGUUGUUCGGAUUUACUGGGCGUAAAGGGCGCGCAGGCGGCAGACCAAGUCAGGCGUGAAAGCCCCGGGCUUAACCUGGGAGGUGCGUCUGGGACUGGUAUGCUAGAGUUCGGGAGAGGAGAGUGGAAUUCCCAGUGUAGAGGUGAAAUUCGUAGAUAUUGGGAAGAACACCGGUGGCGAAGGCGGCUCUCUGGACCGAGACUGACGCUGAUGCGCGAAAGCGUGGGGAGCAAACAGG
rnacentral:rRNA from 1 species